rnacentral:rRNA from 1 species
CCUACGGGGAGCAGCAGUGGGGAAUAUUGGACAAUGGGCGAAAGCCUGAUCCAGCCAUGCCGCGUGUGUGAAGAAGGCCUUCGGGUUGUAAAGCACUUUCAGUGGGGAAGAAAGCCUUGGGGCUAAUACCCUCGAGGAAGGACAUCACCCACAGAAGAAGCACCGGCUAACUCCGUGCCAGCAGCCGCGGUAAUACGGAGGGUGCGAGCGUUAAUCGGAAUUACUGGGCGUAAAGCGCGCGUAGGCGGUCUGAUAAGCCGGUUGUGAAAGCCCCGGGCUCAACCUGGGAACGGCAUCCGGAACUGUCAGGCUAGAGUGCAGGAGAGGAAGGUAGAAGUCCCGGUGUAGCGGUGAAAUGCGUAGAGAUCGGGAGGAAUACCAGUGGCGAAGGCGGCCUUCUGGACUGACACUGACGCUGAGGUGCGAAAGCGUGGGUAGCAAACAGGAUUAGAUACCCCAGUAGUC